GACGAACGCUGGCGGCGUGCUUAACACAUGCAAGUCGAACGAAGUGGCGCACGGGUGAGUAACGCGUAAUCAACCUGCCCUUCAGAGGGGGACAACAGUUGGAAACGACUGCUAAUACCGCAUACUGAAGGAGGGGAUUGUGUCUGAUUAGCUCGUUGGUGGGGUAACGGCCCCCCAAGGCGAUAAUCAGUAGCCGGUCUGCGAGGAUGAACGGCCACAUUGGGACGGAGACCCGGCCCAGACUCCUACGGGAGGCAGCAGUGGGGAAUCGUCCGCAAUGGACGAAAGUCUGACGGAGCAACGCCGCGUGAGUGAUGACGGCCUUCGGGUUGUAAAGGUCUGUUAAUCGGGACGCGGUACCGGAAUAGAAAGCCACGGCUAACUACGUGCCAGCAGCCGCGGUAAUUC
rnacentral:rRNA from 1 species